rnacentral:rRNA from 1 species
AUACGGAGGGUGCAAGCGUUAAUCGGAAUUACUGGGCGUAAAGCGCGCGUAGGCGGCGAUUUAAGUCGGAUGUGAAAGCCCCGGGCUCAACCUGGGAACUGCAUUCGAUACUGGGUCGCUAGAGUAUGGGAGAGGGCUGUGGAAUUUCUAGUGUAGCGGUGAAAUGCGUAGAUAUUAGAAGGAACAUCAGUGGCGAAGGCGGCAGCCUGGCCCAAUACUGACGCUGAGGUGCGAAAGCGUGGGGAGCAAACAGGAUUAGAUACCCUAGUAGUCC